UCGCAUUAGCGGUAGUAGCGGCAUCCUUUUUUUUGAAAGUAUCAUUGUUGUUAUGUAAGCUCUUGUUAUUUUAAAUCCUAAAGCCUGCUUUGGUCUUUAUAUGACCCUAAAAAAAAGAUACAGCGGAUGACGCGGCACUUU
rnacentral:sRNA from 1 species